rnacentral:rRNA from 1 species
CAGCAGCCGCGGUAAUACGUAGGGUGCGAGCGUUAAUCGGAAUUACUGGGCGUAAAGGGCUCGCAGGCGGUUUCUUAAGUCUGAUGUGAAAGCCCCCGGCUCAACCGGGGAGGGUCAUUGGAAACUGGGAAACUUGAGUGCAGAAGAGGAGAGUGGAAUUCCACGUGUAGCGGUGAAAUGCGUAGAGAUGUGGAGGAACACCAGUGGCGAAGGCGACUCUCUGGUCUGUAACUGACGCUGAGGAGCGAAAGCGUGGGGAGCGAACAGGAUUAGAUACCCGAGUAGUCCCUGUCUCUUAUAC